CUACCCGCUAUUGGAGUUCGAUUAAGCCAUGCGAGUCGAGAGUCUUAGGGACUCGGCGUACCGCUCAGUAACACGUGGGUAACCUGCCCUAUGCUGGGGAAUAACCUCGGGAAACUGAGAAUAAUGCCCCAUAGUCCACCAUGCCUGGAACGGUUGGUGGAUCAAAGCCCCGGCGGCAUAGGAUGGGCCUGCGGCGUAUCAGGUUGUAGGGGGUGUAACGUACCCUCUAGCCAUCAACGCGUACGGGUGUUGGGAGACAUAGCCCGGAGAUGGAUUCUGAGACACGAAUCCAGACCCUACGGGGUGCAGCAGGCGCGAAAACUUGGCAAUGCGAGAAAUCGUGACCAGGGAACUCCAAGUGGCUGGGGUAAGACCCAGUCUUUUCUUGACUCUUCAAAGGUCUUGGAAUAAGGGGUGGGUAAGGACGGUGCCAGCCGCCGCGGUAAUACCGGCGCCUCAAGUGGUAGUCGAUUUUAUUGGGCCUAAAACGUCCGUCGCCUGUUUGGUACAUUCGUGGGUAAAUCAAUCAGCUCAACUGAUUGAAUUCUGCGAGCACGGCCAGACUUGGGACCGGGAGAGGUGUGGGGUACGUUCAGGUAAGGGGUAAAAUCCUGUCAUCU
rnacentral:rRNA from 1 species